AUGGCUGUCGUCAGCUCGUGUCGUGAGAUGUUGGGUUAAGUCCCGCAACGAGCGCAACCCUUACUUUUAGUUGCUACCAUUUAGUUGGGCACUCUAAAAGAACUGCCAGUGAUAAGCUGGAGGAAGGUGGGGAUGACGUCAAGUCCUCAUGGCCCUUACGUGUUGGGCUACACACGUGCUACAAUGGUAUUUACAGUGGGAUGCUAAGAGGCAACUCCAAGCAAACCCCCAAAAGAUACCUCAGUUCGGAUUGUACUCUGCAACUCGAGUACAUGAAGCUGGAAUUGCUAGUAAUCGCGGAUCAGCACGCCGCGGUGAAUACGUUCCCGGGUCUUGUACACACCGCCCGUCACACCAUGGAAGUUGGUUACACCUUAAGGCAAAGCGUAAAACCUUUGACUACGGUACGAUCAGCGACUGGGGUGAAGUCGUAACAAGGUAGCCGUAGGGGAACCUGCGGCUGGAUCACCUCCUUUCUAAGGAAAUCGAAAAAUAUCAAAACAAUUAUUUUCGAUUUAAAAAAAACCGGUAAUGUGACCGUCCUCAUUUCUCUUCUUUUAAUGUCUCUGAGUAAAAAUAAUGUAAGGGGCCGGUAGCUCAGGUGGUUAGAGCGCACCCCUGAUAAGGGUGAGGUCGGAAGUUCGAGUCUUCCUCGGCCCACCAAUAUUACGGGGGAUUAGCUCAGCUGGGAGAGCGCCUGAUUUGCAUUCAGGAGGUCAGCGGUUCGAUCCCGCUAUCCUCCACCAACAUAUUGAGACAUUCAGCUUUUUUAAAUUGUGAAUAUUAUUAAUAUUAUCAAUAUCUAUAUCCGAUUGUUUUCAGAUAUUUUUUUUGAAAACAAUCAAAACAAAAAUUUAAUUUAUUACAGAAAAAGUUUUUUUCUGUGCAUAAAUCAAGCGUUUAAGGGCGAUUGGCGGAUGCCUUGGCACUGUAAGACGAUGAAGGACGUGGUAUACUGCGAUAAGUUUCGGGGAGCUGUAUGCAAGCUUUGAUCCGAAAAUUUCCGAAUGGGGAAACCCGG
rnacentral:sRNA from 1 species